GCUCAGAAUGAACGCUGGCGGCAUGCCUAACACAUGCAAGUCGAACGAAGGCUUCGGCCUUAGUGGCGCACGGGUGCGUAACGCGUGGGAAUCUGCCCCUUGGUUCGGAAUAACAGUUGGAAACGACUGCUAAUACCGGAUGAUGACGUAAGUCCAAAGAUUUAUCGCCGAGGGAUGAGCCCGCGUAGGAUUAGGUAGUUGGUGUGGUAAAGGCGCACCAAGCCGACGAUCCUUAGCUGGUCUGAGAGGAUGAUCAGCCACACUGGGACUGAGACACGGCCCAGACUCCUACGGGAGGCAGCAGUGGGGAAUAUUGGACAAUGGGCGAAAGCCUGAUCCAGCAAUGCCGCGUGAGUGAUGAAGGCCUUAGGGUUGUAAAGCUCUUUUACCCGGGAUGAUAAUGACAGUACCGGAG
rnacentral:rRNA from 1 species